AGGGCGAUUCUUGGGUGACGCACCCCGGAAUCGGGCUCCCUCCUCUCUGGUUCCCGGGUGUGUCACCCGAGAACUGCCACUG
rnacentral:pre_miRNA from 1 species